AAAAAUCCUACCCCAAAACACAAAUAUUGAAAUCAGGCAACCAAACAUAAACCCUAAAUUUCAAAACCCCCAAAUCCCGCUUCACAAAUUCAUCAAACAUGGACAUCGAUGUAUCCGGAUGGAUCCUCGAAUUCCUCCUCCGUCAAAACUCACUCACCGAUCAAACCCUAAACAAUCUCAUUCGUGUCCUUCCACUUCCAAACACAAACCCUAGGCUCAAAAAGGCCUUAAUUUUGCGUAAACUCCAAUCCGACAUCCAAAACGCCACAAUUUCCGAACGCACAAUCGGAUAUCUCGAACAAAUCGAACAAUUAGACCAUAAUUCAUCACCUUCUACCGUUUCCGAAGCCAUGAAAGCAGCUUACUGCACAGUUAUGAUGCACUGUACUUCAAAAUUGAUUGAGGAAACUGCAGGUGAUAAGAAGGUUAAGUAUUAUACAGCUGUGAAGAGGUUGUGGAGUGUUAGGGUUUGUGAAAUGGAAAGGUGUGGGGUGCAAUUGGUUCAUGAUGAUUUAGUGCGUUGGGUGCAUGAUGUUGAGGCUGGGGUUUUGGAUGUGGAUGUUUGUGAAAAUGUUUUGAAAAUGGUUUUGGAUUCGGAUGUGGUGAAGUGUGUUGGGAGGUAUGUUAAUGAGGCGUGGGAGACGAUGGGACCGUCGUUUUUAGAGUUGGCGUGUGAGACGGUGUUGAAUGAUGAUGGAUUAAGUGAAGCUAUGGGGUUGUUGGAUGAAGUUGCACAACUUAGAAGUGACACAUUAAGGGCUCAUGAAGAGGAAGUUUCCAAACUCAAUAAUCAAAGUAAAGACAGUGCACCAACAGAUGAUGCUGGUGCUAAUAGCAAGGGUAAUGAAGCAAUGAAGGCUCACGUGCCACCUACACACAAGCAUGUUGUUUCAAGACGCAGUAGAAGAGCUAAAAUCGUUGAUACCAUGGAAGCUUCUCACGACAAAUAUGAUUACAUUCCUAGCCCAGAAGUGAGUAAAGUACAAGAAGCCCUUGAGUCAAGUACUUUCGAACUACAUGCAGCGGUGAAGGACCCGCUUCCGGAUGCAUUACGCCUUGCAGAGUCUUUAAAAGUCGGCACGAGUGGAGAAAAUGCGGCUCAUGAUCUUGCUGGAGGUAAUGUUACCAGUGUCAAUGAUAAAGCUCCAAGUUCCUCACAUGAUAGGAAGGGUAAAGCUCUAGAAGCCGAUGGAGAUGAUGAUACCGUCAAGGAUCAAAACAAAAGGAUCAAACCUAGCUUAUUUGAACGGAAUCACACUGCUCAUACUACUGAGUGGAGUGACUCCAUUGAUACAUCCGAGGAAGGGUCACCGACAAGGCCUCACUUGCCUAGCCCCCAAAAGAGAAAGGUCUCACCGUUAAACAUUUACAAAAUGGAAAAACUCGUAAGACAGAGAAAGAAAAAAAGAUGGUCUCCCUUGGAGGAAGACACGUUGAGGACCGGUGUGCAAAAGUAUGGCAAAGGAAACUGGAAGCUGAUCUUAAGUAUGUACCGUGACAUCUUUGAAGACAGAACUGAGGUUGAUUUGAAGGACAAAUGGAGAAAUUUGACACGCUAGCGACUAUCAAUUCUCGCUGUUUACAAGUUAGAACCAAAUAUUGCCCUGUGAAGCCUCGGUUUGUGGAUUGAUUAGAUAUGCGUUGUAAAACAAAUCAAAGGUUCAAGCAUAUGAUUAUAACAGGAGCCAGCUUUGCUGUAAGCUUCGUGUCUUCUUUAUAAGAGAUUCAAGAAAGUAGUCAUUUUUGCGGAUAUUAUGUAUGUAUGUGUUAGUAAUGAAUUACGCUCAUACCCUAGAGUUAUGCGAUACCAUGGUCACACAUUUCACUUUAUUCCAUCAAACGUCGAUAAAAAUUGUGUAGUACUAGCAGGACCUUGCUUCAUGUGCAUCACCUUUCUUUUGCAUAUAAAUAGCCAGACUCGCGUAAUGACCCUUUUUUUA